UACGUAGGGCGCAAGCGUUAUCCGGAAUUAUUGGGCGUAAAGAGCUCGUAGGCGGUUUGUCGCGUCUGCCGUGAAAGUCCGGGGCUCAACUCCGGAUCUGCGGUGGGUACGGGCAGACUAGAGUGAUGUAGGGGAGACUGGAAUUCCUGGUGUAGCGGUGAAAUGCGCAGAUAUCAGGAGGAACACCAGUGGCGAAGGCGGGCACCUGGGCUAACACUGACGCUGAUGCGCGAAAGCUAGGGGAGCAAACAGG
rnacentral:rRNA from 1 species